UUGACAAGCUAUUCCAUCGCCUCUUUUUCUUUUGAAAUUGGGGAGGAAAGUCGGGACAGCGCAGGGCAUCCUGCUUCUUAGAUAGAAGGAUUGGCCAUUGGCCAAUACAGACAGUGCCGCAGAGAAGGUAACCUAUGUUGUUACUCUGUAACUUCAGGUGAAUGUGAAAACGUGAGGUAAGAGCUCACGCUCUGUGAUGGUAACAUCUCAGAGGGGUAAACCUCAGGAGCUGCAAGAUCAAAUAAACCAGUACUCCGCUUAGGCGGAUAAGGGCUGCCCGCCCGAAACUGGUGGGUAGAUUGCUACAGGUAACGGGUGACUGUUAUCGCAGAUAAAUGAUGGAAACUACUGCUUUUGCAGUGGAUUACAGAAUCCCGCUUAUUGGCUUGUCAAUCAU
rnacentral:RNase_P_RNA from 1 species